GACGAACCGUGCGAACGUUGUUCGGAAUCACUGGGCUUAAAGGGCGCGUAGGCGGCUCCGAAAGUCCGGGGUGAAAGCCCCCAGCUUAACUGGGGAAGUGCCUCGGAUACUGCGGAGCUCGAGGGAGGUAGGGGCGGAUGGAACUUCCGGUGGAGCGGUGAAAUGCGCAGAUAUCAGGAGGAACACCGGUGGCGAAGGCGGGUCUCUGGGCCGUAACUGACGCUGAGGAGCGAAAGCAUGGGGAGCGAACAGG
rnacentral:rRNA from 1 species